UACGUAGGGGGCAAGCGUUGUCCGGAUUUAUUGGGCGUAAAGAGCGUGUAGGCGGCUUGGUAGGUCCGCUGUGAAAACUCGAGGCUCAACCUCGAGAUGUCGGCGGAAACCACUUGGCUAGAGUCCGGAAGAGGAGAGUGGAAUUCCCGGUGUAGCGGUGAAAUGCGCAGAUAUCGGGAAGAACACCUAUGGCGAAGGCAGCUCUCUGGGACGGUACUGGACGCUGAGACGCGAAAGCGUGGGGAGCGAACAGG
rnacentral:rRNA from 1 species